rnacentral:tRNA from 22 species
GCGGUCGUGGCGGAAUUGGUAGACGCGCAACGUUGAGGUCGUUGUGUCCGAAAGGACGUGGAAGUUCGAGUCUUCUCGACCGCACCA